rfam:Dichanthelium oligosanthes cultivar Kellogg 1175 unplaced genomic scaffold Do_version_2_scaffold771, whole genome shotgun sequence.
AAAAAGGCCUUAUUAAAUGCCACCAAAAGAACUCACGAAGUUGAA